rnacentral:lncRNA from 1 species
AUAGGUCUAUGCCGACAAAAUUUGCCGGAUUAAGUUUCCCCCGACAAAAUUUCGUCGGCAUAGAUUUUUUCAUUGGGAGAGGUCUAUGCACUUCUGCCGACAAAAUGUCGUCGGGAGAGGUUGUGUUCCUCCUUUUUUUUUUUUUUCAAAUAUAAUAAUUUUUAUUUUAUUUUAUUUUAUUUUAUUUUAUUUUUAAAAUAUAAAAUUUGUUUCUUUGCUUUUGCUUUUGGGCCAACUUCUUCAAUUCAAUACAUGUAAUUAGGUAUACCUUAGCCCUUUUUUAAUUACUUUAAUUAGUGAUUAUGUUUUAAUAGUGAAUAUUUAAAUAUUUUACUCAAUUUCGUAAAUUACUUGGUAAAUAGUAAUUAAUUGUUUUGAAUUAAAUAAUCAUUGAAAUACGUGCGUACGUGUACAAUACGUUUGCUUUCAUUAUACCGAGUCUUUAAGACGUAUACGGAAGUACUAUUGAAAAAUACGUACGUACGUGUAUAAUAUGGGUAUUAAGAAUUUUAUCAAAUUCAAAAAUUUUAACAACUAAAUACUAUUUAUUAAGUAAUAUCACUUAUGAUGUUAAUUAAAAUAUUUAAUACUAAUUAUUCACUAGAGAAAUAAUUGUUAGAACAUAAUUACUCAAGCUAAGAUAUUAUUUAAUUAUGAAAAGAAAAAAUAAUACUAAUUUUCAAAUUUUUUUAAAUAUAAAUAAAAAAUAAAAGUAAAAACCUCUCGCGACAAAAUUUCGUCGGCAUAGGUCUAUGCCGACGAAAUUUGCCGGAUUAGGUUUCCCCCGACGAAAUUUCGUCGGCAUAGAUUUUUUCGUCGGCAUAGGUCUAUGCACCUGUGCCGACGAAAUUUCGUCGGGAGAGGUUGUGUUCUUUUUUUUUUUCUUUUUUUUUUAAAAUAAUAUUUUUUUUUUUUUAAAAAGAAUUUAAAAUAUAAAAUUUGUUUCUUUGCUUUUGCUUUUGGGCCAACUUCUUCAUUUCAAUACAUGUAAUUAGGUAUACCUUAGCCCUUUUUUAAUUACUUUAAUUAGUG